AGCCUGAACGCUGGCGGCGUGGCUAAGACAUGCAAGUCGUACGGGUGUAGCAAUACACCAGUGUCGGACGGGUGAGUAAUGUAUCGCUAACGUACCCCGAAAUCUGGGAUAGCCAUCCGAAAGGAUGGGUAAUACCAGGUAAUAUCACCGGUAGGCAUCUGCUGGUGCUCAUAGGGACACCGUUUUGGGAGCGGGCGAUAUCGUAUCAGCUAGUUGGCGGUGUAACGGACCACCAAGGCGACGACGCGUAGCCGGGCUGAGAGGUUGGCCGGCCACAUUGGGACUGAGACACUGCCCAGACUCCUACGGGGGGCUGCAGUAACGAAUCUUCCGCAAUGCACGCAAGUGUGACGGAGCGACGCCGCGUGUGGGACGAAGCCCUUCGGGGUGUAAACCACUGUCAGAGGAUAGAAAGUUCUGAUCAUCCUCAGAGGAAGGCACGGCUAACUCUGCGCCAGCAGCCGCGGU
rnacentral:rRNA from 1 species